rnacentral:rRNA from 1 species
AUUGAACGCUGGCUGCAGGCUUAACACAUGCAAGUCGAGCGGUAACAGAGAGAAGCUUGCUUCUCUGCUGACGAGCGGCGGACGGGUGAGUAAUGCCUAGGAAUCUGCCUAGUAGUGGGGGAUAACUUGCCGAAAGGUAAGCUAAUACCGCAUACGUCCUACGGGAGAAAGGAGGGGACCUUCGGGCCUUUCGCUAUUAGAUGAGCCUAGGUCGGAUUAGUUAGUUGGUGAGGUAAUGGCUCACCAAGACCGCGAUCCGUAACUGGUCUGAGAGGAUGAUCAGUCACACUGGAACUGAGACACGGUCCAGACUCCUACGGGAGGCAGCAGUGGGGAAUAUUGGACAAUGGGGGGAACCCUGAUCCAGCCAUGCCGCGCGUGUGAAGAAGGUCUUAGGAUUGUAAAGCACUUUAAGUUGGGAGGAAGAGCAGUUAACUAAUAUUUGACUGUUUUGACGUUACCGACAGAAUAAGCACCGGCUAACUUCGUGCCAGCAGCCGCCGUAA